UAUAAUGGGUCAGCGACUUAUAUUCUGUAGCAAGGUUAACCGUAUAGGGGAGCCGCAGGGAAACCGAGUCUUAACUGGGCGUUAAGUUGCAGGGUAUAGACCCGAAACCCGGUGAUCUAGCCAUGGGCAGGUUGAAGGUUGGGUAACACUAACUGGAGGACCGAACCGACUAAUGUUGAAAAAUUAGCGGAUGACCUGUGGCUGGGGGUGAAAGGCCAAUCAAACCGGGAGAUAGCUGGUUCUCCCCGAAAGCUAUUUAGGUAGCGCCUCGUGAACUCAUCUUCGGGGGUAGAGCACUGUUUCGGCUAGGGGGCCAUCCCGGCUUACCAACCCGAUGCAAACUACGAAUACCGAAGAAUGUUAUCACGGGAGACACACGGCGGGUGCUAACGUCCGUCGUGAAGAGGGAAACAACCCAGACCGCCAGCUAAGGUCCCAAAGUCAUGGUUAAGUGGGAAACGAUGUGGGAAGGCACAGACAGCCAGGAUGUUGGCUUAGAAGCAGCCAUCAUUUAAAGAAAGCGUAAUAGCUCACUGGUCGAGUCGGCCUGCGCGGAAGAUGUAACGGGGCUAAACCAUG
rnacentral:rRNA from 1 species